rnacentral:rRNA from 1 species
UACGUAGGGUGCAAGCGUUGUCCGGAAUUAUUGGGCGUAAAGAGCUCGUAGGCGGUGUGUCGCGUCGGCCGUGAAAACCUGCAGCUUAACUGUGGGCUUGCGGUCGAUACGGGCAUCACUGGAGUUCGGCAGGGGAGACUGGAAUUCCUGGUGUAGCGGUGAAAUGCGUAGAGAUCCGGAGGAACCCCAGAGGCGAAGGCGGCGCCCUGGCUCGCAACUGACGCUCAGACACGACAGCAUGGGGAGCGAACGGG